CGAAGGCAAUGUCCAGUCACUCUCAAGUCAUGUGUGACACCCAACCAGCCUAGUGGAAGAAAGAAAUGGCUGAUGAAACAUGUAAAUCUUCCUGCCAACCUGUCACCUCAAUCAACCCCUGCCAUGGCGUGGUUGAAUUUGGGAAUCUGGAAAAAUAGGAGACAGACUGGAAGCAGCGGUUACAAGGGGAAGAGUCUCAGAAACAUCUCAACAAUCAGAUGGACUAGAAAGAUCCAUCUAGUCCAGUACUGUGUUGCUGAUGAAAACACAAGAGACAUUCUGGAGGAAAUGAUCAGGACCAGCCAUCUAUGUACUCCUAAAUUUCCUAAGAAUUCAUUAUAAUUGUAUGUAAAUUAAUUUUUUUCUCUUUAACUGAGAAAAUAACAUGUGUACCUAGCAAAAAAAUAUUCAAGCAAAACAAGUAUAUAAACAUUAAAAUGUAAACCUUU